rnacentral:rRNA from 1 species
GGAAUAUUGGACAAUGGGCGGAAGCCUGAUCCAGCCAUGCCGCGUGAAGGACGAAGGCGCUCAGCGUUGUACACUUCUUUUGGACGGGGACAAACCGCUCGACUCGUCGGGCGCUGAGGGUACCGUCAGAAUCAGCACCGGCUAACUCCGUGCCAGCAGCCGCGGUAAUACGGAGGGUGCGAGCGUUAUCCGGAAUCACUGGGUUUAAAGGGUGCGUAGGCGGCGAGGUAAGUCAGUUGUGAAAUUCCCCGGCUCAACCGGCGGGACUGCGAUUGAUACUGCUUUGCUUGAAUCAGGUUGAGGCAGGCGGAAUGUGGCAUGUAGCGGUGAAAUGCUUAGAUAUGCCAUAGAACACCGAUUGCGAAGGCAGCUUGCUGGGCCUUGAUUGACGCUGAGGCACGAAAGCGUGGGGAGCAAAC